UACGGAGGAUGCAAGCGUUAUCCGGAAUGAUUGGGCGUAAAGCGUCCGCAGGUGGCAAUGUAAGUCUGCUGUCAAAGCGUCUGGCUCAACCAGAUAAAGGCAGUGGAAACUACAUAGCUAGAGUAAGGUAGGGGUAGAGGGAAUUCCCGGUGUAGCGGUGAAAUGCGCAGAUAUCGGGAAGAACACCCGUGGCGAAGGCGGCUCUCUGGGACGGUACUGACGCUGAGACGCGAAAGCGUGGGGAGCAAACAGG
rnacentral:rRNA from 1 species